GACGUAGGGCGCGAGCGUUGUCCGGAUUUAUUGGGCGUAAAGAGCUCGUAGGCGGCUUGUCGCGUCGACCGUGAAAACUUGGGGCUCAACCCCAAGCUUGCGGUCGAUACGGGCAGGCUAGAGUUCGGUAGGGGAGACUGGAAUUCCUGGUGUAGCGGUGAAAUGCGCAGAUAUCAGGAGGAACACCGGUGGCGAAGGCGACUACCUGGCCUGUUUCUUGACGCUGAGGAGCGAAAGCGUGGGGAGCGAACAGG
rnacentral:rRNA from 1 species